GCCUCAACUGGUGGGGGUGGAGACUUAUAGUAGUAAGGUGGAGGGGGAGAGGGAGAUGGUGGAGGAGGGCUCUUGUAUAUAGUAUGGUGGAGGUGGUGAUGGUGAUGGUGGUAUUUAUAA